UGAUAAUUUCCACGUUCGGUUCGGGGUUGCAUUAAAUGUUUAAAGUUUAAAUCCCAAUAUACGUAAGAUUGUUCGAUGAGUAACAACCACGAUUCGACGAAAAGAUCGUGCAAAUUUGAAUGAUGAAAUAAUAAUUAUUAAGAACGAAAAAUAAUUAAUUGUGUUUGUUUUUGGACAAGGAUGAUACCAGUAUCACUUGAAGCAUCUCAAAUAUUGCAACUCUUUAUGCAACUAUAACUUCUGAUGUACUUACAAUAAGAACCUGGUCCGACUCUAAUUUACUCUCUUUUAACGUGGAUAAGACGGUAGCAUUAUCCUAUAAAGGAGCUCUUGAAACCUUGCUUCUUACUAACAGUCAGAUCAGUCUCAUCGUCGAUAUGGUCUUCCUUUUAGAGUAAGCUGCCCAAUCCGAUGUUAUUUUUAAAUUUCAAAAAAGAGCAAUAAGGUAUCUAUCUGUUUGGCCUCAGAAGAGCAACACAUUGCAGAAGCUUCUUCAAAGAUCACGAAAUUUUAACACUUCCUUCUUUAUAUAUUUUAAAAAGUUUGCUUAAUUCGUAAACACCUACAUGUCUUUCCAAGAAGACUUAAUCAUAACUACUCCACCAGAACUUCAACCUUUGAUGUCUAUUUAUCGAUUCCGUCAACUGAAUUAGUAAAGAAAUCGAUAUCAUAUUUUGCAAAAAAUUCUUCGUAAUGUGGUGUUACAGACGCAUCUUAAGGAUUUUAUGGGUGGACUACAUAGAAUAUGCAAGGAAUUCGAGAUUAUUAACACGGGUCUAGGAAAGUUGGUCGAGAACACUUCGUCGACGGAAAAUUAGUCGACAACAUUUGGUCGAAUGGAUUUUUCGUCGACAAACUGUAUCUUUAGGAUAAAGGGAUUAAUGUUGACAAACGACGGAUUAUUGGUUUUUAUUUUGUUAACUGGAAUAUUGUAUUAUACAUACCUGAAUUUAUUUUUUUUUGUUUUGUUAAUUUUUUUUCUAAAUCUUAAUUAUUUUUAAUUUAAUGAAAAAAUUGGCUGCGGUGGGAGAGUAGACAGUUGUUUUAAUUAGUGAUGUUGUACCGUUCUUCUUUUUGGUGUCGGCGCACUUGCGAACGGAGCAUUUCCGGAGAAGUCAAAUUUUCGGGCACUUGCGGACAAGACGAAAUAUGCGAGAUGCUGUGGUAAAUAAAUUGUUAGGCAAUCGAGGCAUUUCCGUACAAUGUUCUUGACUACAAUAAUCAGUCAAUAUCAAUAAAAAAUUAAUGAAAUCGUGAAAAUAAACUUCCCUUCACACUAUAUCCAAGGCUUAGGACUGGCAAUUUAUAAAAUAUUUUUUUUGAUAUGGUACAAAGAAACUAGCUUUAUAUAUUGGCGUGUUUCCGCCAUGUAUUAUUCCCUUUGGGUCUUUGUCGACGAAAAAUCCAUUCGAUCAAAUGUUCAUCGACGAAUUGUACAUUCGACCAACUUUCCAACACUGUAUUAACACAAUAAAAGAGCACAAAUUAGAAUAUCUUGGCUUCAAAAUCUGAGAUUGUGGUUCAAUAUGUCUACAAACAAUUCCGAAUAAUUGCAAGCAAAGUUAGGAUAACCAUGUUGAUCGCCAAAAUCCGGAACGGAUAGGCACCAUAAGAAGAAGAGAAUCCUCUAUAUCAGCUCGACGAAAGCAUAUGAGAUAACAAAUUAAGCCUUUUUAAGUGGUAUUCAAUGACAAUAAUUUAUGCGUGUGGAAUCGUUGGACAUAUAUUUGAUAUCAGAGCAGCAGUCUAGUCGCUGAUGUAAUCAAUGUACGUGCUUUAAUAAUGUGAUCUAAUGUGUGAGUUUUUACGUAGAUUUCUGGAAAACACAUCAUCAUAUCUCUACUGGCUAGAUACAGACAAACUCCAUUUUAAGAUAUUUUAGAAGCAAAUAUUACAUUUUGUUUUAACCGUCUGUCCGUCUUUAAACACUACUUAAUCCGUCAUCAGAUCAGGUAGAAUCACGAAUGAGGUGUCGAAUGAAAGCUUAUGACCCAAUGAUGGCAUUAAAGGUGAGAAAGGACAUCGUACACAUCUUAUGGAAAAUAUAAUGUCACUCAAAUUCAAUAAAAUUUAUACGAAUAGAUUCGUUUUAAAUUAACGGUCAAAUCUUAUCAUUGCGCCAACUCCAUAUUUUCAAUAAUAAGAGCAGAAAUUGAUAUAAAUAAAUCUGAAAUCAAAUGGAUACGUACAUAAGUUAGAGAGAGAAAAAAUAUUUUAUAAUACCCAAAUUGUCGGUACUCCAUAAAUCAGCGGAUUAGUUUCACUAAUCCGCUUAGGCCCAGCGGGGUUUAAGCUCUUUUGAAUAGCACCCAGAGCAAUAGUGAUUGUAACUGACACUUUUACUGACUAAAAAAUUUGAUUUCGAUAAACUUUAAUUGCAAUUUGCGCCGUAAUUAAUCAUAAUUAAGAGUUGGCGCAAUGAUAAGAUUUGACCGUUAAUUUAAAACGAAUCUAUUCGUAUAAAUUUUAUUGAAUUUGAGUGACAUUAUAUUUUCCAUUAGAUGUGUGCGAUGUCCUUUAACCUCGGACUUCCGGUUCAAUAGUUGCAACCGGAAGUACUGCUAUAAAAUCGCCGAAAUAGUACAAGCGAUCAUGGGCGCCCAUAUAAAAAUUUUCAGGGGGGGGGGGCCAGACGUGAAGAUUUUGCACAUUACAUUUUGUACAUUAUGGAUAACAAUAUAUAGUUUAAAGCACCCGAAAAGCUAGGGGGCCACGGCCCCCCCUGCCUUUGGGUAUGGGCGCCUAUGCAAGCAAUAUAUUAUUCGACUAGCCAUAUAACAAAACAACGAAUACAUACUUCUGAUUUCAUACCUGUCUAUCCGUCCGUCUGUCUGUUGGACAGACGUAGUACAAGCGAUAUAUUACUCCUCGAGCCUUAGGAAGACGAGAAUAAAUAUUGACUUCCCGUUCUUAAAUCGCUUCCGGUUGAAGAGGUGUAACUGAAAGUGCCACGUUAUAGUCGCAGAAAUAGUAGGUACAUAUGUGCUACAUGAAUCAUCGCACACUAAAAAGUCGAGCUGGAAUAUUUAAUUCCGGUUUUGAUGUCAUUUUCGGUUAAAAAGUUUUCACCGGAAGUUUGACAAAAAUGACUCAAAAUUGGUGAAAUUGUAUAUCAAUCGACGCAAAGUUACACGAAGAGUCCAAAUAUCGACUUCCGGUUCUACUUCCGGUCUCUUCGGGUGAAAACCUAGAGCCGGGUCCAGACUAAGUAACAAAACAUGUUAAUAACAAAGUUGUACAACAAAUUUGUUGUACAACUUUGUUCUGUAACUUGUUAUAAUAUAGCAUAAGCAUCCAGACUAUAUAACAAAAAACAAAAUAACAAAUGCGCAUAACUUUAGCAGCAUUUUAGCUGGGUAGCUGGUAGGUAAGGCAGUAGGUAUAUAAAAUAGCGUCAUACGUAGAUAAUACCAUCAUAGCAGCAGCAGCUUGUGUAAUUUUGUGCUACAAGCGACAACGGCGUGCUAAGUGAAGAUUUUUGGUGCAGCCUUCAUUAGUAGCUCUAGCAAAAUAUGGUGGUACUUACAGCUCUUUUAGCUGAUCUGGAAAGGGACGACAUAUAUCCAUCGACAAGGGAGGUUAAAUGUGAUGGCAGUUUUAAAAACUUCUUAAGAAUGAAAAGUUCUGAUUUUGAAUUUCUCAUAAAUGAAAUCGGCCAUAAAAUAGGCAGGGAAGACACAUUUCAAGAUGCAAUUGAGGCGCUCAGGGCAACAAUGGCCUACCUACAAAAACGAAGUUUUGAGAUAAAUGCAAUAUUUGCAUUCGAAUUUACAUUGUGCUUACGGGAUGGCGCUACAAAUUAUAUAGCGCCAUUUAGCCAAAAAUAGAGGUUGUGUAGACCCUUGUUAAUAGGAAGAUUUAAUGUUGCUGCUUUUAUUGAUAUUAUAUUAAUCUAAAAAUGCUUAAUUUGUGGGUUAGGCUAGGCCACUGUUGCUCUGAGCGCCUCAAUUCCAGUAAGAGAAAGAUUAUAGCAGUUCUGAUAAGAUUCUUUGCAAGUGGAGAUUCCUACCAAAGUUAUUUAUCUAAAUUUUCUAAGCAAAGUAUUUCGAAUAUUGUGCCAGAAGUUUGUGACGCUCUCCAUUGACUGUUUAAGAGACAGAAUCAAUUAAAGUAUAUUUUUUAAACUUUUUACUCAUUGUUUCAGAGAGACAGUCACAUUUCUGUAAAAUCUAAUUCCUUAGUAUUAUCGUCUGCACCUGUACAUGAUUGAGUGUCAGUGUCUGUUUGAAUUGGUGUAGCUGGAGAAGUAGCGGAUGUAGGUGUGGUGGACGGAAUGGAAAAAGGCUCAGAUUGAUUGUAUAAUUGAGUGCCUGUUGGAGAAGCUGAUGAAGUAGUGUGCGUCUGUGUAGCGAACGAAGUAGUGAAUGUUCCAGGUUGUAUGUCUGAACAGUCUGCUCUGUAGAGCAUAUUACUUAUAUCAAAUUUGGCGCUAAUAUGCACCGAUUCGCUUUUAAGGUGGUUGCUACAUAUUCACCAUAUUCACUCAAGAACGAACAAGGCGAUAUGACUCCGAUCCGAUGGGUGCUGCUCGUGUACUAAACCAGAACAAUGUUUCAGUAAGAUGUUUUUAAGUGUAGGUCAGCCGCGGUGAGGUUUUAUAACAAUGUUUUACAACUUCCUUUGAUGUUUACCGACAUCUUCUGGAUAACUCAAAACUUGCUAUAUAACCAGAAAAAUGUUAUAUAACACUGUAUUUUAAAACUUUUUUAUUUAAAAUUCUAUAACAAGUUCCAAAACUUUGUUAUUUAACAUGUUUUGUUAUAUAGUCUGGACACGGCUUAGGACUUACGAAGUAAAUUGCUUAUUUUAUUGUACCUACUAUUAGUCCAUUCUUUCACGGUUUUUGCUCUAAAUUUUAAAGAACCGCUUGGAUUGACAUGAAAUUUGGCAUACGCAUAGCUUACAUGUCAAAGAAAAAAAAGUGAUAUUGUGUCGAUGUGUGCUUUUGCCCUGGGGGUGACUUUCACCCCCUCUUGGUGGUGAAAAAAUAUAUGUUCAAAAUAAGUCCGGAAAUGGGUAAACUGACUAAUUUUAAGUAACUUUUGUUUUAUAGAGCUUUUUCGCCAAGUCAACACUUUUCGAGUUAUUUGCGAGUGAAUAUGUUCAUUUUUCAUCAAAUUAACCACAUUUUUAGACGGUUUUUCGCAAAUAACUCAAAAAGUAAGUAUUUUGUCGAAAAAAAUGUUCUUAGCAAAAAUAUAGCUUAUAAAGAAGUAAAAAAAAAUGGUGUACGCGUUAGGUCUCUGGAUCUCGUAGAACUAGAGUUAUAAGUAAAAAAAAUGGUGUACGCGUUAGGUCUCUGGAUCUCGUAGAACUAGAGUUAUAGCCAAUGAAAAAUAGAUUCAUAUUCACCAAAUUUCAAAUAGAAUAUUUCGACGUGAAAUAUCCAAAAAGUUAAGCAUUUUUGGGGAAAACCCAUUAAAACUUUUUAAAAGCGUUUAAAAAAAGCUUUAUUCCUGUUUUUACAAAAAGUUUCUAGCAUUCAAUUUAAGCAAGUUACGCUCAAAAUAAAGUUGGUCCCUUUUGUUUUUGCAAAAAAAAAUCGGGAAGACCACCCCCUAAUUAGCAACUUAAAUGAAAUUAAUCGUUACCGCUCCACAAAUUAUUUUACUUAUGUUGUGUUUAUAUAAUCUGUAAGUUUCAUCGAUUCAAAGUGCUUAUUUUUGAAAAAAUUUGGUUUCAAAGUAAAAUUUUUUAAAAUUUAAAUUUUAAAAAAUAUGCUUUUUUCAAAAUAACUUAAAAAUUGUUAGAGAUACCAAAAAUCUCGAAAAACAAAAAAAGUCAGAUUUGCUUUUCUGAAUAUUAUGUAUUUUUUUGUUUUUCUGUUAGACAAAAAUUGAUUAAGAUUUGGUGUUUCUAAAUUUGCAUACAUUCGUGAUCAGUGACUCGUUCAACCCCUUUUAACUACAGCCCUUUCAAUAAUAAGGACUUUGAACCGAUGAAACUUACAGAUCAUAUAAACAAUAUAUACACGAGUCAAGAAACAUGUGAAGUCGUAACGAUUAAGUUAAUUUAAGAUACUAAUUAGUGGGUGAUUUUCUCGAUUUUUUACCAAAACCAAAAGGGACUAACUUUAUUUUGAGCGUAACUUGUUUAAUUUUGAUGCUAGAAUUUUUUUUUAAAUAACAAAAAUAAAGCUUUUUUUAAACACUUUAAAUAAGUUGUAAUGAGUUUUCCCUGAAAUGUGCUUCAUUUUUGGUUAUUUCACGUUAAAGUAUUCCAUUUGGAAUUUGACGAAUAUAAACCUAUUUUUCAUUAGCUAUAACUCUGCUUCUAGUCAGUGUAGAGACGUGAUAUAUACACCAUUUUUUAAAAAUUUUUACAGGCUAUAUUUUUGCUAAGAAUGUUUUUUCGACAAAAUACUUACUAUUUGAGUUAUUUGCGAAAAACCGUCUAAAAGCGUGGUUAUUUUGUUGAAAAAAUGAACAUAUUCACUGCCAAAUAACUCGAAAAGUAUUGACUUAGUGAAAAAACUCUAUAGAACAAAAGUUACUUAAAAUUAGCCAGUUUAUCCAUUUCCUGACUUUCUUUGGACGAACAUUUUUUCACCCCCAAGAGGGGGUGAAAACCACCCCCAGGGCAAAAGCACAUAUCGGCACAAUAUCACUUUUUUGUUUGACUUGUUAGCUAUGUAUAUGCCAAAUUUCAUGUCAAUCCAAGUGGUUCUUUAAAAUUUAGAGGUUUUGCAAUAUUUUACCGUUAAAGAACGGACUAUAUGUUUUCUACAUAAAUUCAAAUUGAUAUUUGGAUAUGUCGGUUCCUUCACGUAUUAAUUCGUCUAUCAAUUAUUCCCCAAUUUAGUGACUUUUUACUUUUUAUGGUCAUCUUUUCAUCCGAUUUACUGAAAACAAUAUAUAAACAAUAGUAUAGAUUUCAACUGGAAUCAACGAGAAGAAAACAUUGUUCUCUCUAACAUAUCGAUCGUUUUUUUUUGACAGCACGAUAUUGCAGCUUCCAUAAGCCAGUUUAUUCGUUUUUUACAGAGAGUUCUUCAACCUUGAACCGGUUUAUUCAUCUUGUCAACAAUUUUAUUCCAUUUCUGCAGUUCUCGAUAUACAGUUAAAUAAAAAGACACACCUAAAACGAUAAAUAACAUUUCAUUCAGAGGCAGAGGCUGUCUUCAAGAAAUUUUCCGCACCCAAAAUCCGUAUACAUAUGCUCCCGUAUCUAUUCAAGCAACUACAUGGAUCUAAUUUUAUAAAUUACAUCAAAAACAAUGAACCAUUCAUUUAGUAAAGUUAAAACUUCAUUAAGUGUUUUAGUUCAUUUCAGGACCGUCUUUUGCUCUAUUAAUACUCUCUCCGCCCGUCUUCCGUUUAAUCCGUAAUUACGAACAAGAAUACUUCAAACAUCAACAUUUAGCAACCGACAAACUAAUUGUAUACCAGAUGAAAUUUUUACUAAAACAUCCUCAUUUGGUAAAAUCUUAUAUGAUCCUAUUUUUCUUGCGUUAAUCACUUUUAAAUAUUAUGGUAGGGGAGCAAAGUAUGCUAAAUGUGCAGUCACUCGAGCGCUUUGGGGACCUAUUGGGUUGUGAUUAUUAGGUCCUAAAACCAAAAAAAGUUAAGUAAAAUUUUCCAUUUUAGCGGGCGCUUGCUAUUUUUUAAUUUAAUUUUCCAUUUCCAUUAAUCGUUUUUUCCGAUUAUAGCGCCAUCUAGCCAUAAUUAGAAAAAAUGUUUCGAAUAAAAGUUGCUUAUUUUUAUGCAGAGAAUCCAAAUCUGCAAUAAAAAAUGGGGGCUCCCAUUUAAGAUUUUAAAGUAACCCCCCACCCCACCUCCGCGUGGGGUCGCGUUUGGUACCAUUCGAUAUAUUUUUCAAAAAUAUUAAAUAAGUGUAUUUUGCAGUUUUUCGAUCUGAUGUUUAUUUUGGUAAGUAUCGCGUGAUUUGUAUUUAAAAUUUUAAAUUUACCCCUCACCCCUCUCUGUGAGGGGUCAUGUCUGGUAUCUUUCGAUAGAUUUUUGAAAAAUAUUGAACGUGUAGUUUUUAGUUUUCCAAUGUGACGUUCAUUUCGCGAAAUAUUCGCUUUUUUCUUGUGAAACUUUUUGACUUACCAAUUUCCUUACGCCCCGGCCCCGCUCAAAUCGUCAGAUUUUUUAAAUAUACACUGUUUUGCAUGUACUUAACUUACCUUAUCUUAAUCUGACAAUUUCGAGUAUUUUUAAGGAUGGAUUUUUUAUUUCGGGCCCCCCUAAACGAACUCCCCUGUGUUAAGAGCCAAUAUAUGGCAGAGGUACAUAUGCAGGGUACCACGUUUCUCCCCAUAUAAUAAUCUGACGCGCUCGAGUAACUGCAAAAAUCCCCGCUUGGGCUCCCCUACCAUUAAUAGAAAUGAUCAUUUCAUUCAUAGAUAUUUUAACCGAUAGAAACCUAUAAAAAUCAAAAUUUCUGCAAUUAUUUCAUUCAUAGAGAUUCUGACCAAUAGAAAGCUACAAGAAUAAAAAUUACAGCGGUAUUUUUUUCGAUUAUUUCAUUCAUAGGAGAUUCUGACUAAUAGAAAGCUACAGAAAUCUAAAUUAAAUUGAUAAUUUUUGAUUAUUUCAUUCAUAGGAGAUUCUGACCAAUAGAAAGCUACAUAAAUCUAAAUUAAAUCGAUAAUUUUUGAUCAUUUCCCGUCGUCAAGUAUAUUACGUCAGAUGCCCUUCGUUGCUACGAAAAAAUACAUUCAGUGACAUUAAUGACAAUUAAUGUUUUAAAAAUUAUGAAAGUGAUGACUUUCAACCGUGUCAAAUAUUUAUAACAACUGUGUGUUUAAUUGUACUAAUUUUGUACUUACAUAAAUAAAUUACAAUAAAAUUUUGGUUUUGAACAGUUUUAUUCAUGAAAUAAUCGCAACAAAUUGCACUCGAUCUCUAAAAUUAAUAUAGAAUUUUUGCCCUCGUGACACUUGACAUAAUUUCACUCGCCUUCGGCUCGUGAAAUUAAAACUGUCAAAGUGUCACUCGGGAAAAAUUCAAUAAUUUUAGAGCUCUUGUGCAAUUACUACUGAUUAUUUCAUUCAUAGGAGAUUCUGACCAAUAGAAAGAUACAGAAAUCUGAAUUAAAUCGAUAAUUUUUGAUAAUUGCCCGCCGUUAAGUAUAUUACGUCAGAUGCCCUUAGUUGCUACGAAAAAAUACAUUCAGUGACAUUAAUGACAAUUAAUGUUUUAAAAAUUAUAAAAGUGAUGACUUUCAAUCGUCAAAUAUUUAUAAAAACUUUGUGUUUAAUUGUACUAAUUUGUACUUACAUAAAUAAAUUACAAUAAAAUUUUGGUUUUGAACAGUUUUAUUCAUGAAAUAAUCGCAACAAAUUGCACUCGAACUCUAAAAUUAACAUAGAAUUUUUGCCCUCGUGACACUUUGACAUAAUUUCACUCGCCUUUGGCUCGUGAAAUUAAAACUGUCAAAGUGUCACUCGGGAAAAAUUCAAUAAUUUUAGAGCUCUUGUGCAAUUACUACUGAUUAUUUCAUUCAUAGGAGAUUCUGACCAAUAGAAAGCUACAAAAAUCUAAAUUAAACUGAUAACUUUUUUGAUAAUUGCCCGUCGUCAAGCAUAUUACGUCAGAUGCCCUUCGUUGCUACGAAAAAAUACAUUCAGUGACCUUAAUGACAAAUGUUUUAAAAAUUAUAAAAGUGAUGACUUUCAACCGUCAAAUACAUAUUUAUAACAACUGUGUGUUUAAUUGUACUAAUUUGUACUUACAUAAAUAAAUUACAAUAAAAUUUUGGUUUUGAACAGUUUUAUUCAUGAAAUAAUCGCAACAAAUUGCACUCGAUCUCUAAAAUUAAUAUAGAAUUUUAGACCUCUUGUGCAAUCACUACUGAUAAUUUCCCGUCGGCAAGUAUAUUACGUCAGAUGCCCUUGGUUGCUACGAAAAAAUACAUUCAGUGACAUUAAUGACAAUUAAUGUUUUAAAAAUUAUAAAAGUGAUGACUUUCAACCGUAAAAUAUUUAUAACAACUGUGAGUUUAAUUGUACUAAUUUGUACUUACAUAAAUAAAUUACAAUAAAAUUUUGUUUUUGAACAGUUUUAUUCAUGAAAUAAUCGCAACAAAUUGCACUCGAUCUCUAAAAUUAAUAUAGAAUUUUUGCACUCGUGACACUUUAGGACAUAAUUUCACUCGCCUUCGGCUCGUGAAAUUAAAACUGUCAAAGUGUCACUCGGGAAAAAUUCAAUAAUUUUAGAGCUCUUGUGCAAUUACUACUGAUAAUUUCCGGUCGUCAAGUAUUACGUCAGAGGCCCGUCGUUGCAAAAAUUGCAAAAGCAGACUCAAUUAAGAAGCAAAAAGGUUCUAAGUCAAAGAAGAAAAUUAAUAAUAGAUUAAGCAGUAGCGAAAGUGAUAAAGACGAUUAUGAAAUAAAAGAAAUUUGUCAAGACUCAGAUGAUGACAUAGAUUUUCUGGAUCAAAACAGUCCAUUGGGGGAGGAGAAUAUAAGUGAUUUUUCUAUUGAAGUUAAUUCCUGGGUUUUGCUGAAAUAUUGCCCAAAAAAGGUUUUUAAAUACUAUGUGGGACAAGUGAUAGAAAAGACAUUGAAUGAUGAAUACCUGGUAAAAUGCUUAAAACAUAACAGUGCCCAGUUUUUUUGGCCCGAGCAAUCCGACGAAGAUACUGUAACGAAAGAUACAAUUGUAAUGAUUUUACCAGAAGCUGAAAAAGAUCGUCGAGGCUCAUAUAUGACUUUCAAUAUUGAAUUUUCUGGCAUGAACUUGUGCUAAAAUUAUUAAUGUUGUAUUUUUUAAG